rnacentral:rRNA from 1 species
UACGUAGGGGGCAAGCGUUGUCCGGAUUUAUUGGGCGUAAAGAGCGUGUAGGCGGCUAGGUAGGUCCGUCGUGAAAACUCGAGGCUCAACCUCGAGACGCCGAUGGAAACCAUCUGGCUAGAGUCCGGAAGAGGAGAGUGGAAUUCCUGGUGUAGCGGUGAAAUGCGCAGAUAUCAGGAAGAACACCCGUGGCUAAGGCGGCUCUCUAGUACGGUACUGACGCUGAGACGCGAAAGCGUGGGGAGCGAACAGG